UACAGAGGUCUCAAGCGUUGUUCGGAUUCAUUGGGCGUAAAGGGUGCGUAGGCGGCGCGGUAAGUCGGGUGUGGAAAUCAUCGGAGCUUAACUCCGAAACUGCAUUCGAUACUGCCGUGCUUGAGGACUGGAGAGGAGACUGGAAUUUACGGUGUAGCAGUGAAAUGCGUAGAGAUCGUAAGGAAGACCAGUGGCGAAGGCGAGUCCCUGGACAACACCUGACACUGAGGCACGAAAGCUAGGGGAGCAAACAGG
rnacentral:rRNA from 1 species